CACCUAGCUUAAGUCCUGCUGGACUGGUUUAUAAGUCAGUCUGAGACACUGUAAACAGCAGUUAUAACUUUAAAGACCCAUUGAGAGGCUACUGCUCGUAAAUAAAAAGAAAAUGAAAGCUCAUAUUGUGCUCCUGAUCCUUGUUCUUGUGGUCGGACUAACAGUGAUGCCUGCUUAUCCAAAUGAGGACUCUAAAGUCAUUCCAGAUUACAUAGCCCUACCCGAGCUAGAAAGAGAUGAAACUUUGAAGCCAUUUACACCAGAAAACGCAGGAGGGAAACCUGAUUGAUCCAUGACAGAAAAGAGAGGUUUUCAAAAGCUUCUUAUAAAUGUGGCUCCCACCCAAGGCAUGCUGAAUAAACAAACAUGGCAAUCAUACAAAUAAUGCUAAUGCAAAUAUUUUGUGUUAUAUUAUAUACAGAAAAAUAAUAAAGUUCAACUUGGAUUUA